CACAUUUCGGAUUGAUGAUAAAUUAACAUAUUUCCUCAACUAGGAUUUCUUAGGACUUUUAGUAUGUUGUUCUGGGCACCUCAUAGAAAUGAUCUAUGCUGAAAAAAAAUUAUUUUACAAUUAGUCUGUCGUAAAAUGCUACUUUGCCUGGACUAAAAAUAAAUUAAGUAAUUGUGAUUAUGAUUUUUUUUAAUUCAUGGCCAAAGUAUCAUUACUGAAAUCAAAUAUACAUUCAUUAAAGAAAAGGAAGAGAAAAUAUAUGAUAGAACUGAUAGAAAGUGGCAGGGACAUUAGCAUACAUAAUUUAGAAAUACAUCUGAAUAUAUAUGCCUUACACUGAACAAAGACCAUAACCACUAUUCUUCUCAUGUAGCCUACCCCAAUUACAAUUUCAACCUUACCAUUACAAUUUUGUUAUUGGUAUUUUACUUUCAUUUUCUUGUAAACAAAAGUGAGUCUCCUGAGUCAGCCGUAGAUAGAUAGAUAGAUAUAGACCAAUAGAGGGAUAGAGAAAUAAAUGUUAUACUUGUUACCAAAUCUUUAUUUUUGAUAAACCAGACAACUUUUCCAGUCACAUAAUAAAUAAAAUUAAGACAACAACUUACAACAUACUUUCCAUUUCUUUUUCCAGAUGCUGAAAACAUGAUGCAAACUGUUGAGACGAAGACAUUUUGUGGAGUAAUUUUCCUCGACGAGGACGUUACAGAAGUUGUGCCGAGGUCAUGGGUUAAAGGUGAUGAAUGUUUUUGGCCAACAUUCAUUUCCAAGGAAAAAACCCAAAAGGCCAUAAAGAGGCAUGAAAUGCCAGGCCUUGGCUGGAAAAUCUCAAAACAAGAACACUCUUUGAAAAAGGUAAAUAAACAAGCAAACUUGUUUCUAUAAUUCUAUGUCUUUCCAUGUUAGGACAACAGUUAUGCCUUACUUCCUUUGUCCUUAAUUAUCUCCAUAUAUGUCUUUCUUUCUUUUUUUUUUAUUAUAGUAGAUGACUUCAGUAAGACAAGGCAAAAGCUGAAGGACUACAACAGAAAUGGAACGGCAGUCCUCCAGUCAGAGGAUGAGGGCUCCAUGGCAAAAAGGAGAAGAAAAGCGACACAUUACCCAGGAUUUGAAAACGGCAGUACUGACUCUGAAACUGAGCAGACUCCAAAAAGAAGACCAGAGUCUCGGCCUCGGCCUCGGCCUCAACCUCUCCCUAUUAGCGCUACCCUUCCUAGUCUCCCUCCAGCCCCCCUCUCGGACAUCGCAGUGGACAUGGGUCAGGAGUCUCUGGACAACACAGGACAGGGAACCUAUACAGACAUAAGCUGGAAUGUGAGGAGGGAGUCAGACCCCUUCAAUGUAAUCAAUAGCUCAGCGCACCAGUCAGCACCACCUCAACACUCAGUGCACCAGUCAACACCACCACCACCUCAACACUUGAGUCCAGUGUUUGACAUUAAUAUGGGCUUCCCCUAUUCACAUGCCAGCGGUGGUGGCGAGCCUGGAGGUCACCUCCUCUUCAAGCCAACCUUCAGAGUUGGCCAUGAAACAGGGCCAAUUCCUUGCACACCGGCUCAGCUACAUGGCCUAUUGCUUUUGGAAAACCUAAAGCAGCAGGUUGCCCAACUCACCACCACCGUGAACCUGCUCAUGGCCAAGGUCAAUAACGGCCUCCAACCAGCAGCCUUUGAGUGGUCCGGGGAAUUUCAAUUCCCCCUGGAAUCAGAUCCAGAGCUGGACCGCUUUGAGGCCUGGCUGGCGGACCCUGCCAACGAUAGGCAGAAACAUGCCCUUGUAAGCAUAUUCCCCCAAUAUGUUCUCAUUGUACUCAAGACACUUGUUUCAUCUUACACUAAAUCUAAUUAAUCUAAAGUAAUAUUUAUUGCUACAGUAGACUAAGCUCUUUAUGAUGAUGUAACUGUAAUCUAAUUCAUCUAAAGUAAUAUUUAUUGCUAGACUAAGCUCUUUAUGAUGAUGUAACUUGAAUGUUAUGGAUAAAAGCAUCAUCCAAUUGCCCACAUGUCUUAAUUGUGAAAAAAAAAAAACUGUCAAAAAAGUGGCUUACCUGUUUAAAAACUUGUGCAACGGUGAUCCAACCACUAUCUUCAUGCCCCUAGGGGAAUACCCUGUCUGCGGUCGGGGGUGUGGAUUUGAAGAGGGUGACAUGGAACAUUUUGUCAUACCUGUUUUCCUGCCCCCUUUCCUGAACAAUUAAUUGGAAGGGUGUGAACAAGAAGAGGGCCUUCCACAGGAUGGCAUCACGGACCCUCCUCAGCCGUGCAGUGGGCAAAUGCGCACUGACAGCAACUGCAACAGAAGCUGAAAUAUGGAGGCAUGCUAUAAGGUGGUUUGCCCUUUCGGCGGACAGGAGAGGAGGGCGCCAGGAGAUACUGGCGCGUCAGCAGCAGGAGCAGCAACAGCAACAGCUGCCACAGCACCCAGCUAGUGAUUUUGUUUAAGUGCAUGUUUUUUUAUUCACGUUGUGUUUAUAGCCUGUGCGUUUUUUUAUCCAUUAAUUCUGUGUUUGUUGUUGAGUGUGUUUUGUGUUAAUUGUUGACUUUGUUCAUGACUUUGUUGUUCAUUUUUUAUAAUUAAAUCUAUGUAUUCGUGGUCAUUAAUUCUGUGUUUGUUAACUUUGUUCACGUUGUUUUAGUAUGCGUUUUAAUCAUUAAAACGAUUUAUUUCAGCUAUAGCCUAUAGGCCUACGCAUUGCUCCAACUGAAACUAGCCUUUAUCAAGUCAAGUCAAGCUUUUUAUUUAUAGCCAAGGCCUUGUAGUGAAAAUGUUUUUCUGGACAUUUUCACAGUCUGUGAAAAUGUAGGCCUAUGCCGGUAGCAUAGGUUACUAUGAUACCCUAACUGACAAAAAUGCCGAAAAUAAGGCAAAAGGACAAUCCAGUGGUGAUUUAAGCGGAUUCGUAACACAUCCGGCACAGCUCCGGUAGGCGGAAUCGUUUCACGCACCCGUUACGCAUGUGUAACAGGAUGAUCAGGCGGUGCUGGAUCGGCGCUGGCACAUAUCCGCAACAACCCCUAAAAACAGACCAGAAACGGCUUCGGCCCGAUGUGCGUUUGGACUCAGGAACGAGUCCGUGAGGCGGAUGCGGGCCAGACCCGGCUCUAUCGUUUUGCGGUUGCGGCCCUGUUCCGUUACAGCGUCCAGUGGCUAUCUGGG
ensembl:lncRNA